CACGUAGGGGGCAAGCGUUGUCCGGAUUUAUUGGGCGUAAAGAGCUCGUAGGCGGUUCGGUAAGUCGGGUGUGAAACCUCCAGGCUCAACCUGGAGACGCCACCCGAUACUGCUGUGACUAGAGUCCGGUAGGGGGAGCGUGGAAUUCCUGGUGUAGCGGUGAAAUGCGCAGAUAUCAGGAGGAACACCAGCGGCGAAGGCGGCGCUCUGGGCCGGAACUGACGCUGAGGAGCGAAAGCGUGGGGAGCAAACAGG
rnacentral:rRNA from 1 species